rnacentral:rRNA from 1 species
UACAGAGGUCUCAAGCGUUGUUCGGAUUCAUUGGGCGUAAAGGGCGCGUAGGCGGCUCGGCACGUCCGUUGUGAAAUCGCCCGGCUCAACUGGGCGGGGUCAGCGGAUACGGUCGAGCUUGAGCAAGCUAGGGGGCAAUGGAAUUCCCGGUGUAGUGGUGGAAUGCGUAGAUAUCGGGAGGAACACCAGUGGCGAAGGCGGUUGCCUGGAGCUUUGCUGACGCUGAGGCGCGAAAGCGUGGGGAGCGAUCCGG